GCGGGGGAAGCGGUCACAGGACAAAACGGUAUCAUUUCAGGUCUAAGGGGGAGCAACAACGGAGCUUAAAAGCAAAUGUCCGCACUGGGGUGACGGCUAGUUUCUACCACCUAGCGUCCCUGGUAACGGGAAUCUAACGGGGAAAAAAGACGGGCCCGCUUCCAACACGCUACCCCCGGGGGCCGCGGCUGGGAAGGAAGGAUACAGGCUACUUCUGCCGGGAUCUGCAGUCGUUUUCCUGGCUAUUUCCCUACCUAAAAGGCUUACAUUUCAAAGGCUCUGAAGGGUGCCCGCCUUGCUGCCAGAUUCUGGAAAUAGACCAUCAUAGCAUCUGUGGCCUGGAAAGAAGUUCAGAUUUAGCCUAGUAAUCUCCUGGGAAGAUAUGCCAAAAGAGAUACUGAAGUUGUUCCAGGAGGUAUGGAAAAUUGAAUGGGUUUUUGAGCCAUCAGUGUAAUGAAAAUUUGAAAAAAGGCUGAACUCUUCUGUUGGAACCCAUUAUAAAAGUACAUAUAAAUUUCGGACUGUAUUUCAGCCAGGUUUUAUUUUGGUGGAAAAAUUCCCAGAUUGGAAGCAGAAUGUACAAACCAAAUAAAGAUCACUCAUCCAUCAUUCAAAUA